CCUACGGGAGGCAGCAGUGAGGAAUAUUGGUCAAUGGGCGCGAGUCUGAACCAGCCAAGUAGCGUGAAGGAUGACUGCCCUACGGGUUGUAAACUUCUUUUAUAAAGGAAUAAAGUGAGGCACGUGUGCCUUUUUGUAUGUACUUUAUGAAUAAGGAUCGGCUAACUCCGUGCCAGCAGCCGCGGUAAUACGGAGGAUCCGAGCGUUAUCCGGAUUUAUUGGGUUUAAAGGGAGCGUAGAUGGUUGGUUAAGUCAGUUGUGAAAGUGUGCGGCUCAACCGUAAAAUUGCAAUUGAUACUGGCAGUCUUGAGUACAGUUGAGGUAGGCGGAAUUCGUGGUGUAGCGGUGAAAUGCUUAGAUAUCACGAAGAACUCCGAUUGCGAAGGCAGCUUACUAAACUGCCACUGACAUUGAUGCUCGAAAGUGUGGGGAUCAAACAGGAUUAGAUACCCUUGUAGUC
rnacentral:rRNA from 1 species